GACGAACGCUGGCGGCGUGCUUAACACAUGCAAGUCGAACGGAAAGGCCCUGCUUUUGUGGGGUGCUCGAGUGGCGAACGGGUGAGUAACACGUGAGUAACCUGCCCUUGACUUUGGGAUAACUUCAGGAAACUGGGGCUAAUACCGGAUAGGAGCUCCUGCUGCAUGGUGGGGGUUGGAAAGAUUCGGCGGUUGGGGGUGGACUCGCGGCUUAUCAGCUUGUUGGUGGGGUAGUGGCUUACCAAGGCUUUGACGGGUAGCCGGCCUGAGAGGGUGACCGGCCACAUUGGGACUGAGAUACGGCCCAGACUCCUACGGGAGGCAGCAGUGGGGAAUAUUGCACAAUGGGCGGAAGCCUGAUGCAGCAACGCCGCGUGCGGGAUGACGGCCUUCGGGUUGUAAACCGCUUUCGCCUGUGACGAAGCGUGAGUGACGGUAAUGGGUAAAGAAGCACCGGCUAACUACGCG
rnacentral:rRNA from 1 species